ensembl:lncRNA
UUUACAUCAGGGGUUCAACUCUGGCUCUUGAGGUCCACUUUCCUGCAGAGUUUAGCUCCAACCCUGAUCAAACUCACCUUUCUGUUUCUCUGUUACUGUGUGAUAUUGCUUGAGGUGCAGAGUUGAGAAUCGCUCUUUUGCAUGCAAUCUGUUCACAUCAUAUACUGCAUGGCACAAACUGAUUGGCCUCUCCUGAUUCUGCAACCAAUGAGAUUGCUUACUCAGUAUUUAAAUAGUCUGGUUCAGUGUGCAUUAUAAUGUGAUCCUGAAGUUCGCUAUCAUAUUUCCUCUGCAAACUGUCCUCCUCCCCCAGCUUCACCUGUCUAUUCUACAAUCAUUUCUACAAUCAUUUCAACACUGUGCAUGGCAGUAUUUUCUAGAUUGAAGACAUCUUAAUCUAUCCUACAAAAACACUAUAAAGGGACAAAGUGAUGUCAUAGUGAUGUCACAUCAUGCGCUUCCCCAUUAAAACUUUCACAGUUUCCUUCUGCAUUUAUGUCAUAUAGUCUAGUGAAGCCAAAGAACUAACAUGAUUAUACUAAUAAUCAUCAAACUGAUAAUUCUGCAGCAUUUUUCAGAAUCCAGUGAUGUUACACAGACACCAGUAUUAUGGGUUCCACAGGGUGAAUCUGCACAAAUGAACUGCAGUCAUACUAUGGGUGCAGACUAUAACUAUAUGUAUUGGUUUCGACAGCAGCAGGGAGAAACAAUGAGACUCAUUGUCUUCAUGGUGGCAGGCGGCAAGCCAGAUUUUGGUGAAUUUUCUGAUGAUAAAUACUCAGCUGAAAAGACUGUAGCUGAUAAAGGGUCUUUCACAGUGAAGAAGCUGCAGCCCGAUGACAGUGGUGUGUAUUUCUGUGCAGUGAGUAAACACAGUGACACAGACCUACUGUGCUGCUGUACAAAAACCUAAAAUGUUCAUGCUCCCUAAACACAGAACAGGUGCUAUCACAGGUGUUAAUAAUGACAAUGAA